AAACUCCGAAUACCAAAACUUUAGAGCUUGGGAGUCAGACAGUGGGGGAUAAGCUUCAUUGUCGAAAGGGAAACAGCCCAGACCGUCAGCUAAGGUCCCUAAAGGUGUUCUAAGUGGGAAAGGAUGUAGUGUUGCUUAGACAGCCAGGAUGUUGGCUUAGAAGCAGCCAUCAUUUAAAGAAAGCGUAAUAGCUCACUGGUCAAGCGACACUGCGCCGAAAAUUUAUCGGGGCUAAGUACACUACCGAAGCUACGGAUUCAUCGCAAGAUGAGUGGUAGGGGAGCAUUCUGCGGACCUGUGAAGGUGAGGCGUGAGCCUUGCUGGAGGGGGCAGAAGAGAUUAUGCCGGCAUAAGUAGCGCAAAUCCUGAUGAAAAGUCAGGACGCCGUAAACCUAAGGUUUCCUGGGGAAGGGAAAUCCGCCCAGGGUUAGUCGGGCCUAAGGCGAGGCUGAAAAGCGUAGCCGAUGGACAACUGGUUAAUAUUCCAGUACCAUCUUGUAUGUGUUUGACCGAAGGGGGGACGCAGAAGGACAGUCUGAGCCUGGUGAUGGUUCAGGUCCAAACACUUAGGCUGGUGAGUAGGCAAAUCCGCUCACCAUUAAAGCUGAUGUGUGAUGGGGAAGCCCUCAAGGGUGAACUCAGGCGAUUCCACACUGACGAGAAAAACCUCGUAGGGACUAUACAGGAUGACCGUACCGCAAACCGACACUGGUAGGUGAGUAGAAGAUACUAAGGCGAUCGAGUUAACCCUCGCUAAGGAACUCGGCAAAAUAACCCCGUAACUUCGGGAGAAGGGGUCCCCGCGCAAGCGGGGCGCAGUGAAGAGGCCCAGGCGACUGUUUACCAAAAACACAGGUGCCUGCUAACUCGUAAGAGGAUGUAUAGGCACUGACGCCUGCCCGGUGCCGGAAGGUUAACAGGAGGGGUCAUCCGCAAGGAGAAGCCCUGAAUCGAAGCCCCGGUAAACGGCGGCCGUAACUAUAACGGUCCUAAGGUAGCGAAAUUCCUUGUCGGGUAAGUUCCGACCUGCACGAAUGGCGUAACGAUCUGGGCGCUGUCUCGGCGAGGGGCUCGGCGAACUUGAGAUACCGGUGAAGACGCCGGUUACCCGCAACUAGACGGAAAGACCCUGUGCACCUUUACUAUAGCUUGACAGUGAGUUUUGGUGAUAUAUGUGUAGGAUAGGUGGGAGGCUUUGAGGCGUGGGCGCUAGUUCACGCGGAGCCGUCCUUGAAAUACCACCCUUAUCUUACUGGGACUCUAACCUGUCCCCGUGAUCCGGGGAAGGGACACUGUCUGGUGGGUAGUUUGACUGGGGCGGUCGCCUCCUAAAGAGUAACGGAGGCGUCCAAAGGUCUCCUCAGGCUGGACGGAAACCAGCCGUUGAGUGCAAAGGCAUAAGGAGGCUUGACUGCGAGGCAAACAAGCCGAGCAGGUACGAAAGUAGGGCUUAGUGAUCCGGUGGUUCUGAGUGGAAGGGCCAUCGCUCAACGGAUAAAAGGUACGCCGGGGAUAACAGGCUUAUCGCGUCCAAGAGUUCACAUCGACGACGCGGUUUGGCACCUCGAUGUCGACUCAUCGCAUCCUGGGGCUGAAGUAGGUCCCAAGGGUUCGGCUGUUCGCCGAUUAAAGCGGUACGAGAGUUGGGUUCAGAACGUCGUGAGACAGUUCGGUCCCUAUCUGUUGUGGGCGGAGGAGACUUGAGGGGAGCUGUCCUUAGUACGAGAGGACCGGGAUGGACAGACCUCUAGUGUUCCGGUUGUCAUGCCAAUGGCAAUGCCGGGUAGCUAUGUCAGGAAGGGAUAAACGCUGAAGGCAUCUAAGUGUGAAGCCCACCCCAAGAUUAGGUCUCCCGUGGAGUAAUCCACCUAAAGGUCUGUGGUAGACCACCACUUUGAUAGGCUGGAAGUGUAAGUGCAGUAAUGCAUUCAGCUGACCAGUACUAAUAGACCGUGAGGCUUGACCCU
rnacentral:rRNA from 1 species